AGUGAACGCUGGCGGUAGGCCUAACACAUGCAAGUCGAACGGCAGCACAGUAAGAGCUUGCUCUUACGGGUGGCGAGUGGCGGACGGGUGAGGAAUACAUCGGAAUCUACUUUUUCGUGGGGGAUAACGUAGGGAAACUUACGCUAAUACCGCAUACGACCUACGGGUGAAAGCAGGGGAUCUUCGGACCUUGCGCGAUUGAAUGAGCCGAUGUCGGAUUAGCUAGUUGGCGGGUUAAAGGCCCACCAAGGCGACGAUCCGUAGCUGGUCUGAGAGGAUGAUCAGCCACACUGGAACUGAGACACGGUACAGACUCCUACGGGAGGCAGCAGUGGGGAAUAUUGGACAAAGGGCGCAAGCCUGAUCCAGCCAUACCGCGUGGGUGAAGAAGGCCUUCGGGUUGUAAAGCCCUUUUGUUGGGAAAGAAAAGCAGCAGGUUAAUACCCCGCUGUUCUGACGGUACCCAAAGAAUAAGCACCGGCUAACUUCGUG
rnacentral:rRNA from 1 species